rnacentral:lncRNA from 1 species
GGUAAUGGAGUCGUGCGUGGCCACGCAGUCGUGGGUGAACAGGGAGUACAGGAGGGAACUAAGCACACAACCCUGAGGGGCUCCUGUGUUGAGUGUCAAUGUGAUCGAUGUGUUGUUGCCUACCCUCACCACCUAGGUGCGUCCCGUCAGGCAGUCCAGGAUCCAGUUGCAGAUGAAGGCCAUGUCCAGGCUUUCAAAGCAUUUCAUGGCUACAGAUGAAUGUUACGCGGUCAAUAGCCAUUUAGACAGGUUACCUUGGCGUUCUUGGGCACAGGGACUAUAGUGGUCUGCUUGAAACGUGUAGGUAUUACAGACUGGGUUAGGGACAGGUUAAACAUUUCAGUGAAGACAUUGAAGAAAUGUAUUGGAAGACGAUUUAUGACAGUGGUAUUUUGGGUAAUUUCUUUACUAUAACUCUUGCUCAGUCCAUGAGAUUGACUAACUGUCCAAUUCCAACCAGUUUGAAGUACCGUGAAAGCGUAUGAGAUACAAGAAAUCAAACUGCCUGAGCUGGGAUAAAAUCAUGUCCAAACAAGUUCUCUUGUGGCAGGAACCUGUCGGGACUGGGUGGUAAACUGAUAAUCUGCAACAAACCAUCUUUUGGUUGUUAGUUUCAAUUAUGAUACAUGGGGAAAAAUGCUUAACAUUUCUGAUUAUCUGAAUUAUUUUAAUCAUAAAAUAUACUUUCUACCUAAAACAAAAAAUAACAAAAUUCCCCUCGUAUACUUUCACCUUUCUCUUUGUUUUAGUUUCCCUUGCAUGAACUGUGAUGAUUGUCCUUUCCCCCACUUUGCCCAGCCACACUCUUACGUGUGUGUGUGUGUGUGUGUGUGUGUGUGUGUGUGUGUGUGUGUGUGUGUGUGUGUGUGUGUGUGUGUGUGUGUGUGUGUGUGUGUGUGUGUGUGUGUGUGUGUGUGUGUGUGUGUGUGCGCGCGCGCAUAUGUGGUUCUACCUUGCACAAGGACUAUUCUGCAUCGUUGUCUCGAUCUCUGUACAGUAUUAAUCUGUCUUUUCUCCUCACACUCUCUCUGUAGCUGCGUGAAAAUGCUCAACCUGUGGUGUUGUUGCUUCUUCAAGCGAAAACGGAAGAAGAACACUCCACGGCAGAAAUGAUCUCCUGCUACCCUGUCCGGUGUCGCUGAGCGAGUUUGGUUUUAAGGAAACUAAUGAAGGGACAUUUCUGGGAGGAGUUGGGAGAGAGACUUGUUAUAUCAAGAGAAUGGGAUUCUUACUGACCUGGACCUACUGAAUGGAACUACUAUACACAUGAAGACCUUGGCCACAAAGUCCUUUCUUUUCUUUCCUUCUCGGUG